rnacentral:rRNA from 1 species
AUUGAACGCUGGCGGCGUGCCUAACACAUGCAAGUCGAGCGGAGAGGCGGACGGGGGAUUGAUGACGAGGAAUCUGCCCGAUGGUGGGGGAUAAAGUUCGGGAACAGAACCUAUUACAGCAUACUAGAAAGUGAGCCUAGGUCGGAUUAGCUAGUGGGUGAGGUAAUGGCUCACCAAGGCUACGAUCCGUAACUGGUCUGAGAGGAGGAUCAGUCACACUGGAACGGAGACACGGUCCAGACUCCGACGGGAGGCAGCAGUGGGGAAUAUUGGACAAUGGGCGAAAGCCUGAUCCAGCCAUGCCGCGUGUGUGAAGAAGGUCUUCGGAUUGUAAAGCACUUUUAGUUGGGAGGCGUUACCUACAGAAAAAGCCCCGGCUAACUACGUGCCAGCAGCCGCGGUAAUAC